rnacentral:rRNA from 1 species
GAUGAACGCUGGCGGCGUGCCUAAUACAUGCAAGUCGAGCGAACGGACGAGAAGCUUGCUUCUCUGAUGUUAGCGGCGGACGGGUGAGUAACACGUGGAUAACCUACCUAUAAGACUGGGAUAACUUCGGGAAACCGGAGCUAAUACCGGAUAAUAUUUUGAACCGCAUGGUUCAAAAGUGAAAGACGGUCUUGCUGUCACUUAUAGAUGGAUCCGCGCUGCAUUAGCUAGUUGGUAAGGUAACGGCUUACCAAGGCAACGAUGCAUAGCCGACCUGAGAGGGUGAUCGGCCACACUGGAACUGAGACACGGUCCAGACUCCUACGGGAGGCAGCAGUAGGGAAUCUUCCGCAGUGGGCGAAAGCCUGACGGAGCAACGCCGCGUGAGUGAUGAAGGUCUUCGGAUCGUAAAACUCUGUUAUUAGGGGAGAACAUAUGUGUAAGUAACUGUGCACAUCGUGACGGUACCUAAUCAGAAAGCCACGGCUAACUACGUG